GACGAACGCUGGCGGCGUGCUUAACACAUGCAAGUCGAACGGAAAGGCCCUGCUUUUGUGGGGUGCUCGAUUGGCGAACGGGUGAGUAACACGUGAGUAACCUGCCCUUGACUUUGGGAUAACUUCAGGAAACUGGGGCUAAUACCGGAUAGGAGCUCCUGCUGCAUGGUGGGGGUUGGAAAGUUUCGGCGGUUGGGGAUGGAUUCGCGGCUUAUCAGCUUGUUGGUGGGGUAGUGGCUUACCAAGGCUUUGACGGGUAGCCGGCCUGAGAGGGUGAACGGCCACAUUGGGACUGAGAUACGGACCAGACUCCUACGGGAGGCAGCAGUGGGGAAUAUUGCACAAUGGGCGGAAGCCUGAUGCAGCAACGCCGCGUGCGGGAUGACGUCCUUCGGGUUGUAAACCGCUUUCGCCUGUGACGAAGCGUGAGUGACGGUAAUGGGUAAAGAAGCACCGGCUAACUACGUG
rnacentral:rRNA from 1 species